rnacentral:rRNA from 1 species
GUCCAGACUCCUACGGGAGGCAGCAGUGGGGAAUAUUGGGCAAUGGGCGCAAGCCUGACCCAGCAACGCCGCGUGAAGGAAGAAGGCUUUCGGGUUGUAAACUUCCUUUCUCAGGGACGAAGAAAGUGACGGUACCUGAGGAAUAAGCCACGGCUAACUACGUGCCAGCAGCCGCGGUAAUACGUAGGGGGCAAGCGUUAUCCGGAUUUACUGGGUGUAAAGGGAGCGUAGACGGCAGCGCAAGUCUGAAGUGAAAUGCCGGGGCUUAACCCCGGAACUGCUUUGGAAACUGUGCAGCUAGAGUGCAGGAGAGGUAAGUGGAAUUCCUAGUGUAGCGGUGAAAUGCGUAGAUAUCGCGCAGAACUCCGAUUGCGAAGGCAGCAUACCGGCGAUCAACUGACGCUCAUGCACGAAAGUGUGGGUAUCGAACAGGAUUAGAUACCCCCGUA